UGGAAACGGCUGCGGCAUUGCCUUGAGAGAGCUUAAGAAGACGAAAAAGAUGAGUGCAGGUGCCAUGGAGGCCCCAGUCUGAUAGAGCCUCCUUGGGAGGUGUCCCUGGGAAGGAUAACCUCAGAACUUGACUCCAGCAGAGCUUCCCUUGAACAGUUUGCUUUCAAUAUCACAACUCAUCGUCUUUCUGUCAUUGGUCAAUAAAUAGUGUAUUUGAAGAUGUAUUCUGCAUCUAUCCUGAGAUGAUCAGAUCGGAAAUCUGAACUCCCUCGGGUCUGCUCGUUCUUCUUUUAGGAAUGGCAAGCUCAGGGUCUGCUGGUUGCUAUCUUACCGGGACAAAGAGGCAUGAUACGUGGAGGAGGAUCCAGUCCCCGUGUUCGAAAAGCUGAUUCAGAGAGUCGCAGAGUCACGACAACCGAUAAUUACAAUACACACAGUGGACAAGUAGAAGAUCAAUGGCCAGAGGUGAGAUAAUACUGAGUGUGGAGACUCAAAUUUCCAUGGACAUGAAUUUAAUGAAUAGAUGCAUCUAAUUAAUUUUUUUUUCCUUGGCUGGAUUCUGCUACUGCAAAAUCCAGGAAUUUGAACUGUUGGCCAAGAGUCUUCCUGCGUCCUCUACAGUGCCGUGGCAUGAUGUGGAGCUGUGACGUAAGCAACAUACCUGAAAGUUGCUUAGAAAAAAAAAUGAGACUUUUAUGUUCCUUCACCAUAUAAAUGUUUAUGUUCAGAGCAAUAAAAUUAAGAUUGCCAGAAAGACACCACAAGCACAUUCAUAUUUCCAGUUGACAGUAGCUUUCCCAUCUGAAUAUACUUCCUGUCAUACUUGCUGGGCUUCUGCAUAAAUCACCUCAAUGUUUAAACCAGUUUAAGCUUUAUAUGUGUACACACUGCAUAGAUUAAAAAAAAUAUGCAGAAUCAAUUUCCUUUUACCCAACUAAUUACUGUGGUGGUGCUAUUUAAAUCGCACACCGGUAACAUUGCCCCUCAGGCUACAUCCUUCCUGACAAAUGUUGAAUGUAGAGCCAUCAUUUUUAUCUUCCCCAUCUAAAAUGUUAACUGGAGCCAAGACUUCAGACUUUAUUUACCGGCAGCAUGUUUUUGCAACUAUUCAUUUAACCAGCAUUAUUGAGUACUUGCAAUGUACAAAAUACAUCAAACACGAAAUUGUCAAUGGAGUCCCUUUUUUUUUUUCACUUAGGAAAGGCCAACAUCAUAUUGUUUCAGUUAACCUGUUGGCUCAACACGAUGCCGACACCAUCUGUAUAGAGGCAAGGACCUAAAGUGUGUGUUUCUUAGAACAACUGCAGCAGCUUCCGUGCGUUGGUGGCAAACUCAGGUUCAUGUAUUGGGGAGGGGGAUUCCCAUCCAAAAAAAUAACAGUGGGAAGAAAAUAUCAGAACUUCCAUCAAGCAUAUGCAAUGAAGAAGAAAUAUUGUUCUGUAUAGCUCACAGGACUUUUAUUUUUUUAUUGUUAUGUAUUUAUUUAUUUUUUAAAUUUUUAAUUUUUAAAUUAAUAUAUAAUAUAUUAUUAGCCCCAGGGGUACAGGUCUGUGAAUCGCCAAGUUUACACACUUCACAGCAUUCA